rnacentral:rRNA from 1 species
CCCUUAGAUGUUCUGGGCCGCACGCGCGCUACACUGAACAGUUCAACAAGUCUUAACCUUGGCCGAUAGGUCUGGGUAAUCUUUGAACGCUGUUCGUGAUUGGGAUAGACCUUUGCAAUUAUGGGUCUUCAACGAGGAAUUCCUAGUAAACGCAAGUCAUCAGCUUGCAUUGAUUACGUCCCUGCCCUUUGUACACACCGCCCGUCGCACCUACCGAUUGAAUGGUCCGGUGAAAUCUCGGGACGGCGGCUCGGUCGCUUGCGUCCGACUGCUGAAACUUGAUUAAACCAUAUCAUUUAGAGGAAGGUGAAGUCGUANCA